GGAGCUCGGUGGCUUACACAUGACUGAAUGAGGCUCGCCUUGUGCAGUGAGCAGAUUGCUUUUAAGUGAAGGGGGGGCAACACCCUGAACCUCGAGACCUGCCUCACAGCUGCAGUGCCCAGGAGAAAUGGAUGCACAGCAGGCAGGCAGAGAUCUGGAUGCCCGCUAGGGUUCCUAGCCACUCAGUAAGCUCCAGAAGUGCUGUACAGACUGCAGGGGGAGAGAGCCAUCUGUAGAGCGGAGCGGAGUCUGCCGUAGGGGCCUGAUCCGAAGAUCAAACAUGUAACACAACAGCAACCUUGCCUGAAGAGAAGUGGGUGUUUAGAGAGGAGGAGGAGACAGCAGAGUCUUUUGCCAUUAACUGGAAAAAACCUGAAAACACAAAACUGAAAACAUGAUUAAAGCGACAGUGAAAAGUCAAUAUAUAUGGACGAAAAAACACAUUUUUCAAAAUAUCUUAAUUUGCGUUCCACAGAAGAGAGUCAGUAAUACAGGUUUGGAGUGAUUACAGAAAUGAUUACAGAAUUUUCAGUUUUGGGUGAUCUAUCCCUUUAAAUGGCCGACGCCCUGAUACAGAAUUAUUUGUCAAACUGAAAUGAACCUACACACCUUUCAAUCCCACACAGUAAGAUGCAGAAAUCAUCAACAUCCCUGAUACAACUCUCUGGCAAACCCAGCUUCUCUCUUCAGCUAUUCCUUUAACACCGAAACAGUUGCCGGCACAAUACUCCUUUCUCAACAUUCCUUUCCCUAUUCCACCCCAGUCUAUGCAAAAGUAAAUGAAAGUAGAGUCUGUUAGCACAAGCUGCUGGUGUAUAGUGUAUCCGAUGCUCUUGACCUGUGUGGUUCCCCUGUACUUUUGUCCCGUUGCCCCUCUCUACUACAAUAAAUGCUCAAUUCUCUUUCCCAGACUCCCAUCUGGCCCCUGUCUCUCUAUAGCCUCUAUAGAGAACAUGAUUCCCUGGAUCUCCUCAAUCUAUUGUUUAAAAGAAGAGAUUCUGGGAAUGAAGAGAAGGACAUUUUAAAGAGCAAGUGAAACCAUCGCCUCUCAAUUGAGUCCCAUUUGUACAUUCUCUUUGGCCUCAUUGAUCCUGUCUUUGAGUUUUCUUUAUAUACUAAUAUUGUGUAGGUAUACUAUUGUAACUGUUAUUUUUUCCAGCAUUAUUAGCGACCUGUUGAAUAGGCAUUGUGUUGUUAUUUAACAGACAGGUGGAUGUAUUAUUUUAAUGCAAACAAUAAUAUAAAGGAAUUGCUUGGAAAUGGCACUGCAAUGGAAAUGGUGUUAUGCUAUACAGUUUCUUCACUCUCAGAAAAAAAGGUACAAAAGCUGUAACUGGGAUGGAACCCUUUCAAAAGGUACACAUUUGUACCUAAAAAGUGCUUAUUAGUGCAUAUUGGUACCAAAAGUUUACAUAUUAGUAUCUAAAUGGUACAUAUUAGAACCUUUUUAAAGGGUACCGUCCCAGUGACAGCUUUUGUACAAUUUUUUUCUGAUAUACACAGUUGGUAAUAUACACAAUGUCUGGCAAAAUGUAAAGACUUUAAAGGAUUAGUUCACUUCAGAAUUAAAAUUUCCUGAUAAUUUACU